ACACCCCCGGCACUGCCUCACCCGGGGAGCUCCAGGUGAAUUCCAUCCUGGAGCAUCCCCAGGCAGGACGGGAGCGGCGCUCGGGUGGAUCCUGAGGGAUAAAUCACCGAGCUGAUCACUUGUUGUGCAUCACACGUUAAUUUUUAAUGAAAUCCAGCCCUAAUGUGAGUCAUAAAUCCCCACUAAACCACUCCGGGUUGGAUGGGCCGGCGGGAUUCAACCUCUCUGCCAUUAGCAGGGAAUAUGGGAACCUUCAUUCCUUCCAGCCCAAAUUGUGGGAAUGUGGGAAGCAAAGCCAGUCCCAAUCAACCCCGAGGUGAUUGGAGACAUCACAGAACAACCUUUCCUUGCUGGACUUUCUGGGAAAAUCUCUUUACAGGACAUGGGACACUCUGGACACAUCCAGGAAUGGCCAAAAUCAUCUUGACCAAGCAGGAAACGAUAAAAAAUGUCAAUAAAAUUAUUUCUGCUCCCUGGAAACAUUCUUCCUCUUAAACCUGGGAAGGUACAAAAGCUGAGUUUAUUCCUGAUCCAGCAGAAAUGAAGGGGCAGCACUGGAAUAAUCCAAUAAUUUAAGCAAUUCCAAGAAUUUCCAUAAUAAUUCCCUUGACUUUCCCAAGUGUUUUCAUCUCUGCUUCCAAGCAGGUCCAUGACUGCCUCUUAAUUGGGAAAAAUGUGAUUUCUAAUUACCUGUGCCUCAUGACUUUAAGCAAUGAAAAGUUUGAAUUUGCACCUGCGCUCCCAAGUUUCCCAGGGAUUUUGGGAAUGCUGGAGCAGAAAUCAACAUUAGAAAUGAGCAAAUAUUGAAUUUCUGGGUUUGGAGAGGGAAUCAUAGCAUGGAUUUUAGGGGAAAAAAACAAAUAUAUUUGUCUGGAUUCAGUCAGUAUUCCAAAGUACAGAGGGAGUUCCCAAGUUUCUGAGGGAUUUUGGGAAUGCUGGAGCAGAAAUCAGCAUGAAUGAUAAAUGAAUAUAUAAUUUAUGGGUUUAGAAAGGGAAUCUUGGGAUUCAUAUCUAGACAAAAGUACAAAUACAUACCUUUAAAUACAGUCAGUACUCCCACGUACAGAGGGAGUUCCCAAGUUUCUGAGGGACUUUGGGAAUGCUGAAUGUAGAAACCAACAUUAGAAAUAAGCAAAUACAGAAUUUCUGGAUCAGGAAAAUAAAUCUUUGGAUUCAUGUCUAGAGGAAAAAAAC
rnacentral:lncRNA from 1 species